rnacentral:rRNA from 1 species
UAGCAAUACACGAGUGGCGCACGGGUGAGUAACACGUGGAUAUCUGCCUUUUGGUUCGGAAUAACCCUGGGAAACUAGGGCUAAUACCGGAUGGUUCCUACGGGAUAAAGAUUUAUCGCCAAAAGAUGAGUCCGCGUCCGAUUAGCUAGUUGGUGAGGUAAUGGCUCACCAAGGCGACGAUCGGUAGCUGGUCUGAGAGGACGAUCAGCCACACUGGGACUGAGACACGGCCCAGACUCCUACGGGAGGCAGCAGUGGGGAAUAUUGGACAAUGGGGGCAACCCUGAUCCAGCCAUGCCGCGUGAGUGAUGAAGGCCUUCGGGUUGUAAAGCUCUUUUGGCGGGGACGAUGAUGACGGUACCCGCAGAAUAAGCCCCGGCUAACUUCGUGCCAGCAGCCGCGGUAAGACGAAGGGGGCUAGCGUUGUUCGGAAUUACUGGGCGUAAAGCGCGUGUAGGCGGUUGUUCAAGUCAGGUGUGAAAGCCUUGAGCUCAACUCAAGAAAUGCACUUGAUACUGGAUGACUAGAGGACCGGAGAGGAUAGUGGAAUUCCCAGUGUAGUGGUGAAAUACGUAGAGAUUGGGAAGAACACCAGUGGCGAAGGCGGCUAUCUGGACGGUUACUGACGCUAAGAC